rnacentral:lncRNA from 1 species
CGCAUUUUACAAGAUUUUGCAACAAAACUUUGGAAUAUUACUAAUUUUGUGAUGCUCUUUCAAGCUGUGAUGAAAUUUUUGUCUAGAUCGAAAUUUUAGUUAUAAGGGGAAAGGUCCAUUGGCCGAGGCUGUAUACAAAUACAAAACACAGAAAUGUUUUACGAAUGCAAAAAAACAUUUUUGUGUAUUGAAAACAAAUUAAACACCGAGAUGUUAUCUUGAAUCGGGCCUCGAUUUCAGUGGUCAAUCACUCAAUUAUGAAAGGCCACAAAAAACUGUUGAAUUUUUUUUAUCUAGAUUCAACGAGUGUGGAAAAAUUCAAGCACUAAAUGCUGAAGAAAAGGCGUUAGAAAUCAGUAAAUUGGGACGUUGAAUUGUUCAAAACGCAACUUUAAUCUUUAAUGAGUUUCAAACCAGCUUUGUCAGAUAUGAACAUGCAAAAUCAAUUAAAAAAAAAUCAAAAUCUACGUUUUUGAAUGUCAAAACAAUUUCAGAAAAUAUCCAUAAACUAAAUUAAGCAAGAAAAAUUUAAGGACUUUCAAGCACUUCUUCACAAAUUCAAAGAUAUUCCAGGCCUUCAAUUUUGCCGUCCUCAAUUUUGACUUUUUUCGAGGGCUGCAGAAGUUGUAAAACUCAUUGGGAAGAUCAAUUUUUUUAAAGAAAUAAGAACGAUGUCAAUGGACCACAAUUAAUGCUGACAAACUAUUUACAUGUAUCAUAUACCUAUCCCCACCCCAAACAGUGGAGAGGGGGAUGUGUCCCCCAUCCCCCCAGGAUUGACACCCUUGCCUCCCAUCUCAUUCAAGCACUUUUACCUUACCCCAUUAGUUAAUUAAUUCAUUUCUAUAUGAUAUUUCUAUUAAUUUAGCAGAAUGUUCAGUAGUACGACCGAGAUCCCAUUGUUAAAAUAUUGGUAUAUAGUUGUCAAUCUUGGCUUUAUUCCUCUGUGCUAUACACUCAGCAAUCCACACGACGUUACGAUUCUCUUGCUCCUUCAACUUAACAAAUGCGUAGAAGACGCCGAAGUGAAACUGUCGCUCGAACGCGAGCGUAUUCAGUUUCACUUCGUGUUCGAAGAAUCGAUCUUCCAGGGUCUUUUCUCCGGGAUUAUUUCCAGCACCCUCGAACAAUUUCCGGUAGUCCUAAGUAAAGUAAAGGGCUUGUUAUAGUCGGGGCCGGCAUUACCGUAGGAAUACGUCCCCCCCCCCC